rnacentral:rRNA from 1 species
UUUGAGCGGGGGACAACAUUUGGAAACGAAUGCUAAUACCGCAUAACAACUUUAAACACAAGUUUUAAGUUUGAAAGAUGCAAUUGCAUCACUCAAAGAUGAUCCCGCGUUGUAUUAGCUAGUUGGUGAGGUAAAGGCUCACCAAGGCGAUGAUACAUAGCCGACCUGAGAGGGUGAUCGGCCACAUUGGGACUGAGACACGGCCCAAACUCCUACGGGAGGCAGCAGUAGGGAAUCUUCGGCAAUGGACGAAAGUCUGACCGAGCAACGCCGCGUGAGUGAAGAAGGUUUUCGGAUCGUAAAACUCUGUUGGUAGAGAAGAACGUUGGUGAGAGUGGAAAGCUCAUCAAGUGACGGUAACUACCCAGAAAGGGACGGCUAACUACGUGCCAGCAGCCGCGGUAAUACGUAGGUCCCGAGCGUUGUCCGGAUUUAUUGGGCGUAAAGCGAGCGCAGGUGGUUUAUUAAGUCUGGUGUAAAAGGCAGUGGCUCAACCAUUGUAUGCAUUGGAAACUGGUAGACUUGAGUGCAGGAGAGGAGAGUGGAAUUCCAUGUGUAGCGGUGAAAUGCGUAGAUAUAUGGAGGAACACCGGUGGCGAAAGCGGCUCUCUGGCCUGUAACUGACACUGAGGCUCGAAAGCGUGGGGAGCAAACAGGAUUAGAUACCCUGGUAGUCCACGCCGUAAACGAUGAGUGCUAGAUGUAGGGAGCUAUAAGUUCUCUGUAUCGCAGCU